CACACACACACACACACACACACACACACACCUGUUUAUUUUCCAUUCAGGCUGGUUGGAGCUCAGUGCUGGAUCAGAUCAUGUGCAGCAGGCUGGAAGAAUCAAUUAUCCUAAAAUUAAACGACAGUGAUUCCAACCUCUGUUCUAUAAACAGCCGCCUGUAAGACAACGAUCAGGGCUCAGAGUUCUGGGUUCCACCUGCAGAUGUAAAAUAAAAAAGGCUCCAGGAGGUUAAACCCUCAGCAGCCUGCCUGGAAAGAUAUUAUGAAAUCAGGUGCAGUUUUUUUUUCUUCCCCAAACCGAGAGCGCCACCUUGUGGAUGAACCGCGGCGCUGCGUCUCCUCGGCGGAUGCAGUUUCUAUAGCAACCUUCCAGACUUUUCUGCAUUGUCUGCCACAGGAAGGGAAGGAUGCUGCUGAAGCUAAAGAGACGAGGCAUCAGCGAGGCCAGAAAACCACCAUGUUGUGGAAGCCUCCAUGUUGUUUGAAUCUGACACAUCGAUUCAACCAACAACAGGACAAAUGAGCCAAUGUGACGUAUUUACAGCCGCAUGUUUGACCCGCUGUCCACACACCUCUGAGAGGAUCCAAACUGAGCUGCAACCAACCUUUACUCAGAUUAUUUCAUAUUUUAGGAUUAAAAUGAGGUUUAAAUGACAACACGUCCUUCACAAGUUCCCAGAGCCCAAACUGAGGUUGUGAAAUUGUUUAUUUUUUUAGGCAGAAAACCACAAAAGAGAUUCAAUAUAAUAGUUUAUAAUAGAAAGAUAUAAUAUUUUGGAUGUUUUAGAGCUCGACUGACACUGAUGUCUGAGGCUGAUUUAUAGUAGAAGGGAAAAAAGCCAAAAAUAUCCCUCCUGAUAUUAUGUAUUAUGUCCUAAAACAGGAUAUUUGAGCAUUAACAAGCAAAACUGACAGUAACAACAAACCUGGAAUAUAUUAUAUAAACAAAACACAAUGUGUAUAUAAAUGAUCAAUAUGUAAAAAAAUAUGUAAAAAUUUGGCCAAAAACACUUUUUUCUGCCACUUUUUGUUGCAUAUCAGCCAUGUAUGGAAGCACAAAAAGGCCAAAAUUGGAAAAUGGCAUUAAAAUUGAAUUCAAUUUCACAAAAAAAUAGAAAUAUUGAAAUUUAAAAACUAUUUUGAGUUGUCAAAUAAGUUUGUGUUUUUUAGGUUUCACAGAUUCAGAUAGAAAAUGUAAUCCAUUGAAAACUCCAACAGAUACUAGAUGAGAUUCAGAACUCAACCUUUUAACCAAAAUGGAAAAAGUCACAUGAUCCAAGAAAGAAAAGUUUAGAAGCGACUGAAAACCCUGAAACACUUUAAUUUUAAAUUUUAAAUAAAAAUUUCAAACCACAUAAACUCAGAUAUGUUUUCAAAAUAAAAUAUGGUGGUUUUUAAAUAAAGAAAUUAGAUAUUCAGUUACUUGUAUAAUUAAAAUAAUUUUUGCACUUUUUUUGCUUCCAUAUAAAUGUUAUUUCUGUGAUAUCAGCUCACAGUAAAAUAAUAAUAAUAAUAAUAAUAAUAAUAAUCAGCCUGUUGAUGUAUCAGUCGAGUUCUGAUGUUUUAACUUGAAAAACUACUUAAAAAUGCAACAUUUUCCAAGAAUGUCACCUGAUUAUUCUCAUUCGAUCAAUAUUUUAGUACUCCCUGAUAUUUGGAAACAAACUGAUCAGUCCUUGUCAGACGAAUAUAACAAACAGGUCACCUGCUGUAUUUUAAGGUUUCCAUAAUUAGCAUUUAGCCAUUAUAGCACCUUACUCAUCUGGACUCCAGGGACGACUCUUUCCACCAAACCUAAUGGAAAAAACGGGGAAUUUAACAGACUGAGGGAAUAAAAACGAUCCCAGCAGACGUUCUCGCAGUGAAGUUCACCGUGCUGUUGGUUGGAUUAUCAGUUGAUUGAUCGAUGGAUGGAGGCCUGAUGGAGUUUAACUGCUGAAUCAUCAACACAGACGGACGGACGGACGGACGGAUGGACGACUCUUCAACUCAGACGACCAAUAACAGCGGAGGGCCGGUCGCACAGAGAGGGGAAGAACGAUGAGCUGCUCCUCCACCUUCCUUGUCAAACCAAAAGAGUACGACAUCCCCGCUUCCCACGACCCUCCUCCUCCUCCUCCUCCUCCUCCUCCUCCUCCUCUUCCUUCUUCCUCCAACAAAGGUGAAAUAAAACAAACUCUGGAUUAAAAACACUGACACUCAUAGGAAACUCGGAGCUAUGAGACGCCUUUCCAUUACAAGAGGACAUCCCGACUGAUUUUUGCACAGAGCGAAGCUACAGUGGGACUCUGAGGUACGACAAACGUUACUUGAAUCAUCCAUAUAUUUACAACAUGUCUGCUGGCUAACGGAGUCCUCCAUAUAUUCAACGAAUAGAUGUUUUUUGGGGAGAUUGCUCCUCUAGCUGUAGAGAAAAAAAAGAACUUGUAAGUCCUGUCUGUACGUUGCAUAUCAUAUUCAAACCAAAACAUAUUAUUGCAUGCUUGGAAAAGUAGAGCAUGUAAACAGAAGAAGUUUGACUUUUGUGUUGACGGCUCAACCCAGCACCGCUAAUCUGUAAUAUGGGAACAACAACAACAACAACAACAACAGCUCAUCGAUAUCACGUUUAUUGAAAUAAUUCUGUUCGACCGGUGGAGUUAGUUGCUAAAUCUCUAUUUUUUAAAGUAUCAUACUGUAUAUGUUUUAUAUGGAGAGGAAUUGGUGAAUUAUUUUGUAGAUUUCUAACAUUUUUGCUAAUGUGUUUUAAUUUUUUCAUUUCUUUUUAUUAUUAUAAUUAUUAUUAUUAUUAUUUUUGCCUUUGUAAAAACAAAAGCAGCUCCAGUGGGCAGCUCUGAUGAAAAUGUCUGCCUGCCAAAAACACUUUAAAAAAAGAAGAAGAUGAAACUGCCCAUAAUAAGAAGAAUGUUUGUGUGGAAAAGUAAAAAAAAUAAGACAGUUGAAAUGCAUUUAUCGCAGACAUUUGUAUGGAAGCUCUUUUCCACUAAUGUGACAGGAAGAAAAACAAUUCUGUAAUUAAUUAUAAUGAGAAACCUUCUCAGUGUUUUCAUUUAGUAUCACAGUCGAUAUUUUAAGAUACUAAAUUAAAUUAUGGAGAAGGUUUCUAAUUAUGAUUUACAGAAUCCUUUUUUUCCCCCGUCACUUUGGCAGAAAUGGUCUUCCAUACAUUUGACAUCUGAUUUUCUUUUGAAUAAUUUUGAAUCUUUCUGAUUGUGUUUUUAGGUUUUGAUCAAAAUGCUGUAUAUCUGUUAUAUCAAUGACAUCUACCUCAGUGUCCGCUCAUUAACGACAGAAGCUUUAACACCUGAACGACGUUGGGAGUCCCUCGUUUAUCUGAAAUCAGACCAGUUUUUAAAUGCAAUUUAAUAAACCCAAACACUCUAUAAACUGCCAUUUAAUAACUCAGAAAAGUCUAAAAAGUGUUAAAGAACCUAGAGGAAAUGUAUACCUACAAAACCAUAUUAACAACGGAUAAAAUAUACAGUAUAUGAAGCCAAUAUUGGCCUUUUUAAUAUCAGAUGUCAUCCAGCCUGAUUAUAGCAAACAGCUUAGAGCCUGACGUCACAUUUUCUUUGCACAUUUUAAUUUAUUUGUGAAAUUGUUCAUGUGAACGAGUGUGACUGUUUUUUUAAAUUAAAUGUUGAUUUAAGGGCAAUAAUGUGCUGCAGAGGUUUUCUACCAUUGAAUAAAUGGAGCCUGUCUUAAAAACUGCUAAACCUAAAAACAAUAUAUUCGUUUGAGGUUUUAAUGGAAAAGGAAUUUUACGUCAGCCGAUGGUCUAAAAUGUUUUUUUUCCACCGCGACAAAGAUUCAGUACCCGGAAGUAAAUUUCAGCCACAACAUUGGUGACAUUUAUGGGAAAUCUGGCGGUUAGCUUUCUCCCAGACUCAGAUAUCAGUUUAAACUCCAGUACAGGGACAAGUCCAGGAUGAGUUUAGCCUAGCUUAGCACAAAGGCUGUAAGCGGGGGGAAACUACUAGCCUAGAACACAACUUCCAACCACCUCAAAGCUGCCUGGUUUGUAUCGUUUUAGCAUUUAGCGCUGGAGCUAUUUGGCGAUAAACGACUGUGAUAAACGUGAAGUAGAAUAGAUCAUGGACAUUUCUUACCUAGCUUAGCACAAUAACUGGAAGCGGGGAAAACUGCUAACUCAAGUAGCCACAAAACCUAACGUAACCACAUUACGUUAGGUUUCUGCAGCUAGUUGAUGUUAUAGCUGUAUGUAGGCUGAAGCGAAUAGUUCUUCCAGUGCUAAGCUAAACACGUCCUGGACCUGUCACUGUAAUGGAAAUGAUGGAAUAUCCUUUUUCUCUUCUGACUCUGGGGAAGAUGACAAACAAAAAUAUUUCCCAAAAUGCUGAACUUACCAUCAUCAUCAUCAUCAUCAUCAUCAUAAAACAUUGGUACAACUCUGUAAAAACUUGCAUCCAUCAACGCUAGCAUCGACUGCAGUUUGGUCUUGUUGUAAUUCUGCUUUGCUUGGACAUAAAAACAGCCUCGGGUGAUUUCUGUUUGACGGUGGCAGUGAUGAGCUCUGACUAGGCAUCAGUUAUGAUGAUUAAUGUAUUCUGCAUACUGUAUGUGCAACAAUAAUAAUACAGUAUUUCCCCUGCGAGUGCAGCAACGUCCUCAUCACCAAACUUCCACAUAUUUAACCAUCACUUGAUAUUCACGACAUGUAAUAUUUUCAUGCUUCAUUAUCAGCUGCAGAGGUCAGUUCGGGCUGCUGAGGUCAGUUCUGGCCGCAGAGGUCAGUUCUGGCUGCAGAGCUCAGUCACCAAAUUGUUUAAUUUUCAUGCAAAAAUAAGAAAAAGCAAUAGUGUGAGUGAAUAUUGUGCUCUGGGAACUUCGGUGUGGAAGCAAAAUGCAUUUUGAUUUCUUCUUCUUUCUGUUUUUUAUUUCCAGUUGUUGUUGUCAUGUUUAUUUUGACAACCUUCAAUUGUGAUCUAUUUUUGAUAAAAUAAAUCUUUAAUCAUGAUCAGCUUCAAUCUUCAUGUGUUUCAGAUGACUGCACAUGCGGACGUGUCGUUUUCUGUUCCGUGUUGGUUUUUCAUGAGUCACAGACGUUCCCACAAGAUGGCACAUUCAAACAGUUCAUCACACAUCUGUCACAUCUGUAUCACCGUCAUCCAUCCUGAAGCCCUUCGGUUGGUGGAGAGGACGAGGCCGAACUUUAAAGUCCAACUGAAAUUAUGACGUAAUUUAUGUCUAAUCUGUAAAUCACUGUGAUUAAUUUAUAAUUUAUGUUUUUAUUUUAACAUAAAGGUCCGUGUUGUAUCGUAGGCAGACAGACUAAACAACACAUAUUAGCUUUCCUGCUAUUUCUGAUCUCACUUACAAACAUGAACACAUGAAACGUUUCCUGCACUUUAACUUGUUGAAUCAAAUGACACCAGGGAAAAGUGCUAAUGAUAGUUAGCAGGCUCAGUAACUAAUUAGCUGCUCAGCUAAUUAAGCACAUUAAGCAAAACAUAAACGUACUUGCUAAUGUCACUGAUGCCGGUGUGGUUCUUACUCUUCACUAACACGCUGUCUGCUCAUAACAUUCAGCGCAAAACAACUCUCCGAUUUAAUAAUUAAAAAAAUCUGUUAUAACUAUUAUCCUUUUACAUUAUAUGAACUAUAAACAUACAUUUAAAAAUAUACGUUGAUGUUAUUUCUGAUUACAGAGAGGGUUGAGUGGAUGUGAUUUCAGUUGGCCUUUAAAGUUCAGCCUCCAGAGGGAGAGCAGUGUGUCGUCAGUGGCUUUAAUAUAUAACUGUAGUUUGACUGAAACCCUCAACCAAAAGAGACUUCAUCACGUUCACUUCAUCAGUGGGUACCCACAUCAGACGCUUACUGUAUACUGAAGAUAUCAGUCAGCGUUGUUUCAAGGGAAAAUGGAAAAUACAUUUAAUUUCAGUCCUUUUGUAUUGAAAUGUGAUCAACAAAAUAUGGAAGUAGGUUGAAUCCUGGAAGUUUUUCCUUCAGUGUUGCUCAAAUCUACUUGUUUAUCUAUAGAGUUCAGUUACCUCUAAUAUAUAUUAUCUUUUUAGGGUUCCCCCAAACCGGUUAUUCCCCACUGAUUAUCUGAAUACAUAAUUCUGUAUCCACUAUAGCCAUCCAUAUCACUCAUAGUUUGUAGUAAGAAAUAAUUAAAUCUUUGUUGUCUCCCAGUUUUAAAACCAAACUACAGCCUUGAUAACUGUUCUUUAACAUGCAAACCAUUAACAGCGUUGACGUCUGCAGGGGUGAAGAGUUCGGAAGUUGUGAUGUGAAAAUACUUAGUAGGUUAAAGCGAAUAUUUAACUGCAGACAGAAAACCAGCAGAGGUCAGUUAGAAACAUGCAGUAACCACAGUUAUUCAUCGAUAAGCAAUAAUGCAUGUAAAGUACAGUAUCAUCAGCAAAGGUGGGUUCUCUGGUUGUUUGUAUCUGUGCAUAAAAAGUUAACAGUGCCUUAAUCAUAACCUGAUUGAGUUAAUAACCCUGUCAAAUGCAUCUGAAGUACCACAGAAGAAGAAAGUGUGUGUGUGUGUUAGCACUGUAGGGACGCAAUCGACUGGUUGCACAUAGAAAUAAUGUAAAUUAAUGUAUUGAAUGUACAGUAAGUUGUCUUCCUGGUUGCUGUUAUGAGAGGAAACAAAUGUGAUGAAGUAAAAAGAAAAAAUCUCCUCUGUGGAAGCUCAAAGUGGACAAGACUAUUCAUAUUUUAAGGCCUGUUAUCUUGUAAAGUCAGUCAUUGUUUAGUCACAUCUAUUUUAGUUGUGAUUACACCCCCUUCGCCUCACCUUACCAUUCCAAGAGUGUAAGAGAACCUACGGAAGACCUGAAAAUCACUGAAAACCUUAUUUAGAGCCAGUGUUCAUUAAUUAAAUAUAUUUUUUCAGGUGUUUGGGGAAUGUCCAGAUAUAAAUGUUUGAGUUUCUUGUGCAUGAUUAUAAAACAUGGUUUGGUUUCCUGAAAAAAAAAAACCCAAAAAUAAUGUUUUCUUGUAAAUUAAAUUGUGAUAUUGGGAUUAUAGCCCUAAAGAAAUAUUUGCAAUCAUGUCCACUUUGGGCUUCCUUAGAUUAAUUUUCUGUUUUCGAAUAAUGACAUUCCUCAUAUGUCUCACUUUAGUUUUUCUUUGGCAGCUCAUGAAACUUUAUCACAUUUUCAUACAAUCUGUUGCUUUUAUUUUUUACAUUUGUAUUAUUUUAGUCUGGAUGCUGAGUAAUGGCCAAACGUUAUUAUUGUUAAUUUUAACUAAAAUGAAGAGAAAGUGAAUUAAAAUGAAUGUGAACAUAACAUUUUGCCUGCAAUUAAACUGAGUUUACAUAUUUAUCCUGUGUUUAAAAUUAGCUGAUGGUAAAGUCAUAAAGUUUAGAUUUUAAUAAUUAACCCCAAAAAAGAAGAAAAGAAAUAAUGAAAUGAUACAAAAUCUAACAUAAAUUUAAAGAAAUGGGACUUAAAUAACCUUAAUCAUAAUAUUUAGUUUUCAUAUGACGAUUGUUAACUGUACCAUUUUUUACAGUGCUGCUAAAAAAUGAUGCAUUAUGUUUAAAAAAUAACUUUACAAUUGUUGUCCAUAAAAACUGACGCAUUCUGGCGUCUGAAUGACUUCUUGGGUGUAUGUGAAAGGCUGUUGCUUUAAUUAUUAAAUUAAAAAAGGGAUAAAUUCCCAUCAGAAAAUGUCAGAAAAUUAUUUAUUCUAAUUAAUAUGUAGUUUGAUUGACGAUAUCAAAUUCAUGUUAAAUCAAAAAUAUUACUUUCCUUUUUUAUAAUGCUGUUAAAAUUAAACUGAGAGAUACAAGACUGAGAGAAAAAAUACUAAAAAACAACAAUCAUCCAUCCUUACCGGCAUGAGUGUAACACAAGCAGUGUGUCUCCAUGUGUUUGAGGUCGGUCCUGUAUUCAUUCACUGAACUGUGUGUUCGUCUCAUGGUGUUUUCCCGCUUCUGCUAACAGCUGAUUCAACAGUGACAAAAAUAACUGUCUGCAAAACCUCAAUUUGUGUCUUCAGUGUGUAAAAUCUCAAAUAAUAUUUUAUUUUUGUCAACUUGAGUAUCUGUGUAUUUCACUGUAUGGCAGGUAUAAAGUUAAAUAACAUUAAAAAAAA